UGGGGAAUAUUGCACAAUGGACGCAAGCCUGAUGCAGCCAUGCCGCGUGUAUGAAGAAGGCCUUCGGGUUGUAAAGUACUUUCAGCGGGGAGGAAGGGAGUAAAGUUAAUACCUUUGCUCAUUGACGUUACCCGCAGAAGAAGCACCGGCUAACUCCGUGCCAGCAGCCGCGGUAAUACGGAGGGUGCAAGCGUUAAUCGGAAUUACUGGGCGUAAAGCGCACGCAGGCGGUUUGUUAAGUCAGAUGUGAAAUCCUCGGGCUCAACCUGGGAACUGCAUCUGAUACUGGCAAGCUUGAGUCUCGUAGAGGGGGGUAGAAUUCCAGGUGUAGCGGUGAAAUGCGUAGAGAUCUGGAGGAAUACCGGUGGCGAAGGCGGCCCCCUGGACAAAGACUGACGCUCAGGUGCGAAAGCGUGGGGAGCAAACAGG
rnacentral:rRNA from 1 species